AUCUUUAAGGUCCCUUCCAAUCUAGACGAUUCUAUGAUUCUAUGAAACUCUAUGUAAUCUGAAUACAUUACCCUGCUUUUGAAGUAGCGGUAGUACGAUAAUAUUAAGAGAACGACCAUCACAGACAUCACAGUCAUCUACCGUGUGACUUUCAAAACAGACUAGGGGGUCUGCUUUAGGAGAGACUUUCCUUUACUUUGACUUGACACCCUGGAUUUCUAUGCUGUCAGAACACCGGAAUCACAUGCAAAAGGCUAUACUGGGUCAGACCAAAUCUGUCAGAGAUAUCUGACAUUCCGCCCCUGACUACACCAAAAGCAAAUGCCUGUGGUUGUGAAAGCAUGAUGUAAAAGACUGCAGUCUCAGAUCAUAAUCUCUUUUCUUCUUGUUUGCUUCUCUUUUUGUAUCUUUUGCCGGUCAAAAAUGUCCAUGCAGAAUGGUUUUAUUUUGGGUUUUAUUUUGGAAAAUGUGAUUUGACAGAACUGAGACACAGCAUGGUUAUGUGUUGAUUUAGUAGAAGAUUAGAGCGGAGAACAAGCAGACAGGCUUGCAGGCUAAGCUGCAGCCCUAUGGAUGCCCAGACUUAGAACCAAGAUACAUGAAAGGCAAGCUAAAACUUUCUAAAUUGGCCCGAAGCAGAAUGCACAAGCUCUAGUCUUGCAAAAGAAACUGAAAUCUUUGAUCUUUUGUUUUGAACUAGGCUAUUUUUAAAGGGUUAGAAAAUUAUUUUCUGGACAGUUUUGGUCUUUUGCCUUUGAUAUCUGAAUGGAAGAUAAACAUUGAUCUGCUCUCUCCUUCCCCUGUAGAUUGGCACUGAGACGCUUCUUUCUCCAAUAGUGCAGGCCCUAGAGCUUGAGUUCUGUGAAGCAACAGCAAUCUUGUUUAUACACAGACUUAGGAAGAAAUAUUCAAUUCCAGGAUUAGUCUGGUGUCUUGCCAUUAUCUACUCAUGCAAGUGGUAAUGCAGAAGAUGCUGAAGACUGGUGGCUGUCUAACUGGAGGAAUCAGAGGUGAAAGCCCUGGUACUAGAGGAUAGAAAAAGCUUUGGAAAAACCAGAUCAGCAUUUGAAGACAAUAGAAUCACAGGUCUCAAAAUGCAGAGAUAAUACGUUUGGACAGAUGUAACUGUCAUGCUGUCAGCUGCUGCUAUUCCAUAUCAAGGCCUCCAAUAUUUGCUGUUUAUUCUUCUAGCCAAAGCCCUUGGAGGCAAGUGAUUAGAGGCAAAUAUUAGCUUUAAUUUUUUUAAGGGAGAUUUUGAGAAAAUAUUGAAAUAAUGAGCCAAAUGUACACUAACAGUUAAAAAUAUACACAAAAAAUAAAAAUAGCCUGCAACUGUUUAUUUUAAAUCUC
rnacentral:lncRNA from 1 species